rnacentral:rRNA from 1 species
AGAGUUUGAUCCUGGCUCAGGAUGAUUUCUAGCUACAGGCUUAACACAUGCAAGUCGAGGGGCAGCAUGAACUUAGCUUGCUAAGUUUGAUGGCGACCGGCGCACGGGUGAGUAACACGUAUCCAACCUGCCGAUGACUCGGGGAUAGCCUUUCGAAAGAAAGAUUAAUACCCGAUGGCAUAGUUCUUCCGCAUGGUAGAACUAUUAAAGAAUUUCGGUCAUCGAUGGGGAUGCGUUCCAUUAGGUUGUUGGCGGGGUAACGGCCCACCAAGCCUUCGAUGGAUAGGGGUUCUGAGAGGAAGGUCCCCCACAUUGGAACUGAGACACGGUCCAAACUCCUAUGGGAGGCAGCAGUGAGGAAUAUUGGUCAAUGGACGAGAGUCUGGACCAGCCAAGUAGCGUGAAGGAUGACUGCCCUAUGGGUUGUAAACUUCUUUUAUACGGGAAUAAAGUUAGCCACGUGUGGCUUUUUGUAUGUACCGUAUGAGUAAGGAUCGGCUAACUCCGUGCCAGCAGCCGCGGUAAUACGGAGGAUCCGAGCGUUAUCCGGAUUUAUUGGGUUUAAAGGGAGCGUAGGCGGGUUGUUAAGUCAGUUGUGAAAGUUUGCGGCUCAACCGUAAAAUUGCAGUUGAUACUGGCGACCUUGAGUGCAACAGAGGUAGGCGGAAUUCGUGGUGUAGCGGUGAAAUGCUUAGAUAUCACGAAGAACUCCGAUUGCGAAGGCAGCUUACUGGAUUGUAACUGACGCUGAUGCUCGAAAGUGUGGGUAUCAAACAGGAUUAGAUACCCUGGUAGUCCACACAGUAAACGAUGAAUACUCGCUGUCGGCGAUAUACAGUCAGCGGCCAAGCGAAAGCAUUAAGUAUUCCACCUGGGGAGUACGCCGGCAACGGUGAAACUCAAAGGAAUUGACGGGGGCCCGCACAAGCGGAGGAACAUGUGGUUUAAUUCGAUGAUACGCGAGGAACCUUACCCGGGCUUAAAUUGCAACUGACUGAACCGGAAACGGUUCUUUCUUCGGACAGUUGUGAAGGUGCUGCAUGGUUGUCGUCAGCUCGUGCCGUGAGGUGUCGGCUUAAGUGCCAUAACGAGCGCAACCCUUAUCGAUAGUUACUAGCAGGUCAUGCUGAGGACUCUAUUGAGACUGCCGUCGUAAGAUGUGAGGAAGGUGGGGAUGACGUCAAAUCAGCACGGCCCUUACGUCCGGGGCUACACACGUGUUACAAUGGGGGGUACAGAAGGCAGCUACACGGCGACGUGGUGCUAAUCCCGAAAGCCUCUCUCAGUUCGGAUUGGAGUCUGCAACCCGACUCCAUGAAGCUGGAUUCGCUAGUAAUCGCGCAUCAGCCACGGCGCGGUGAAUACGUUCCCGGGCCUUGCACACACCGCCCGUCAAG